AGGAACGGGUGGUAAUGCUGGAUGCUCCAACUUGACGCAUGUCUUGUUGGAAAGUGUCUAGUGGCAUGGGAUGGGGUCGCGUCCUAUCAGCUUGUAGGCGGGGUAAUGGCCCACCUAGGCUUCGACGGGUAGCCGGCCUGAGAGGGCGGACGGCCACAUUGGGACUGAGAUACGGCCCAGACUCCUACGGGAGGCAGCAGGG
rnacentral:rRNA from 1 species